AGAGUUGGCAGGGAGAUACCAUGAUCACAAAGGUGGUUUUACCAGGGCAAGCCUUAUCCUUUGUACUCUGGAUGUGCUGACUCCUGAGAUUUUCCCAAAAUGGGGAAGCUUGACUGCUUAGUUUGUCAUAGCAAGGGACUGUGUUCAUACUUUUCCCAG
ensembl:snRNA U1 U1 spliceosomal RNA